CUGGAUUAUUGUAUUUACAUAUUUUCUACCGGAAGAAUAUUCUUUGUUUCUGUACACAUCAGAUUCUUUUUGUGCUGUUCUGUACUUUUUAUAGCAGCUACCUGUUCCACUGAAUAUUAGAAGAGGGCUUCCUUCUUCAUUUGUCACAGCUAUUCACGAUGAGCUUGAACGAUUGCAAGGACUUUAGCAAAAACCAGUACAAAGCAACAUAGCAAUAUGUUUUAAAAAACAGGCUUGUUUGCCUCAUUGUGCCAGAAUAAAAAGUGAUGAGAUGCCCAGCCGGGCACAUAUAUGCUGGUGGACAUGCAUGUACAGACAUAGCUGUUUCUUCUAUUUUUAGAGCAGGGUAGGAGGAAGCAUGCAAAACAAAAGUCAAAGUAGCUUCAGUGUGUUUAAAAGCCCCGUACUAUUCGCACAGGUUUACUGCACCCCUAUAAGAGUGGUAGCUUCCAUCUCUGCUGUAAUACAGGAACUACCGAUGUAGGUUCUUUUUUUUUUUUCACACAGAUGGGUUUUCUCAGUUCCAGUUGAGUGAUUAUAUGUGUGUUACUGCCUUAGCCUGUCCUGUUGUGUGCGUCCAUUAAAAUUUAGGGCUGAGGUUCACAGCAGAUUUACACCCGGAUGUGUCCAAAAUUUUCUAGAUUCAUUUUAAAACAUUAAAACCACAGCGUGGGUGAAUAAAAAGCAUGGAGCAGUUUCUUAUUCUUGUGCUAAUGGCAGCGGGAACUCAUGCUCUGGUUCCAGUUGAUGAGACUACUUGUGACCUCAGGACGAGCACAUGUCCAUGCUCUCCUCUUCUUGAAGAAACUGUAUAUAUCCAAGUGAUGACUGAUGCUAAUGGCUGUCAACUGCAGUGUUCGAAGGUGCUUCCCACUGAGACAAAAACUGUGUUCAAUAUGAAGAAAGGAAAAACAACAACAACAGACAAGGAAUUUAACAACAGACUAACAUUUAUAAUCAACAACGGGACAAUCAAGAUCACAAACGUGAGGAGGAGUGACUCAGGUCAAUACAGCAUUGAGGUCUUUAAUUCAAAUGGAGUCCAAGAGAAAAACAUUAAUUUCACCCUGGAUGUUAAAGGCAAUGGAAACUUUGAAGGCAAGGCACUCUGGAACUUCGAAGCAGACAAGUGUCUUUACCUGGUCAUAGCCUGUUGUGUACUGGCAUUUCUCCUGAUAGCAGUGUCAUGCUGUUUUGCGUGUAGAGAAAUUAACCAUCGUAAACAAGGUUCACGUGCUCCUGUACUUUAAGCAACAAGAUGACUGAGCUGACCUCAAAAAGAAAUCAGGAGGUGACUGUGAUAUUUUCAUUUUAUACUUGUACAUACUGAAAAAGACUUGUUGGGGUUUUGUCUGUAAGGGUUUUUGUAUGGUCUUUACUGUACAAUAUAUUGCACAUUGAAGCAACUGUAAUUGUGAUUUGGUGAAAUAUAAAUAAAACAGAAUGGAAAUUGAUCCAAAAAAUUUAUGUAGAUGAUUAAAAUGUUCAUUUCUAAAGCCUGUCUGAAGCCUGAUUAUGCAACACUAAAGUAAAAAAAAUAAAUAAAUAAAUCAAAAUUUCAAUGUAAUUUUUUUUAUGUAUAGCAUUAGCUAGAAAUAUAAUAAAAGGUAUAUUAAACCUUUUGAUUUCUUAAAGUUUUUUUUAAAUUUGUCAUUUAACUCAUAUGUUUCUUUCACUGAAUAAACAUGUGAUAAAAAAAAUUAAUAGUUUAAAAGCUAAAACUGUUAUAACUGACAGGACUGUAUGUGACUGUAGGCAAAUGGGGCAGGAUAAAAUCAAAAGAAAUAACAGAUCAAAAUGAGAUUUUGUGGAAGAUGCUGCAGGCAUGCCUGUGGUUUGUAUGUUGACAUGUUUCACUUCCUUCAAACUGUAGUAACUGUUUACAAUGAAAAUCACUCCUUGUAUGGCAAAACUUAACAUGGAAUCUCAGAACACGGAACUGCAGAAAAUAUAUCAAAAAUCUGAAGUGCUGAGAUUCCAGUUUUUUGAUUGCUGCAACACUUCAUGUCAGCACAGUGGCCUUUAAAUAAAGUAAAUAAAAGAAUGAAGAGAAAAUUUUUCAAAUUUCAACUAAUAUUUUUAAAAUUA
ensembl:lncRNA